rnacentral:lncRNA from 1 species
GAGGUUGCUUAGGAAAUCACCCACCGCAAUGGCAGGAGACACCAUGAGAUGUUUUCUGCUGUAGAAAAUUUCUCAUUAGAAAUAGCCCAUUUAUAUGGGGGACUGGCUAAUGUUUUUCUAUGAGAAUCAUUAGCCAGUGUCUCAAAGUGGUGAAGAGUAAGUAUAUAGCAUCUUUCAAAAGACUGUAACCUGGAACAAAGAGAGACAAAGGGAAGGAGGAGUCUGGAGCCAUAUUAAAGAUGAAAUUGAGAUAUGGACUAGGUGGUGGAUCGUUUUUAUAAGAGGACAUAAAAGAGGAUGCUAAAGCUAAUUGCCACAAUCAAAACUCAAAGACGUAGCAAAUGCAAGGUGGUAUUUAUUCUAAACUCAGCAAAGUAGUAGAAAAAUAGUUUUGAGAACAGUUUUAAGGAGACUAGGGUAACAGUGAGAAAACAGUUCAUGGCUAGUCUGGACUUAGGACUUUACGGUCGGCCUGGUGAAUUGAAGGGAAGCAGCUGAUACACUCUGGUUGCAUUGUACCCUGGCUUUUGAUGCUCUCCCAUGUGCUGCAGUCAUCAGUAAUCUG